GGUCAAACUGUACGUUCUAUG
rnacentral:miRNA from 1 species